rnacentral:rRNA from 1 species
UACGUAGGGGGCUAGCGUUGUCCGGAAUCAUUGGGCGUAAAGCGCGUGUAGGCGGCCCGGUAAGUCCGCUGUGAAAGUCGGGGGCUCAACCCUCGGAUGCCGGUGGAUACUGUCGGGCUAGAGUGCGGAAGAGGCGAGUGGAAUUCCUGGUGUAGCGGUGAAAUGCGCAGAUAUCAGGAAGAACACCUAUGGCGAAGGCAGCUCUCUGGGACGGUACUGACGCUGAGACGCGAAAGCGUGGGGAGCGAACAGG